GUAGAUUUUACCGGGGUCCAGAAAGGGUUGAGGGUCUAAAAAACGCGUUUCUCUCUGCCAUGAGUUCUCGACGUUAUAUUCUGCACCGGAGAGGAGGCUUUGCGAGUUCGCGGAUUGUCAUCUCGAUCGGAUCUGGUACGCAUGACGAUGCGUACGGGGGAUUGCAGCAACGACGGCUAUACUUAGCGCAUUAGACGAAUCUCGUCCGAGGGCCGCCGCGGACGAAAGGAGGUCGUGGAACAGCUGAUGCGGCUGCCGAUGCGGCGGUUUUGAUGUGACGGCAUCUUUACCAUUUCAGCGUGCUCUCUCGGCUUCCUUCUUCUAACUGCUGCGGCCUUCCGCACUCACCGAUGCUAAAACAGCUGAUGAAACGGGGAUUCGCAAUUUAUUCGUAAUUCUUUAAAGCAACGUUCAUUGUCAGAAGUGCCCAUUGACACACCCAGUGACAUUACUCAAUUGCGUGACCAUAACUUUUAGUCAAUUAAUUUUGUAAUCUACGUUUGCGAUUCUGUAUAGUACGUGUAUGUGAUAAAUAUAGAUUAUAAGAUCCGGAUAAAUAAUGUAUAAAGGAAUUUUAGACAAUCGUUAGAUCAAUGUCUUAAAACUGUGCGAAAUAAAUUAACAAAGCAAGCAGUCA
rnacentral:lncRNA from 13 species